GAGGGUAUAGUUCAAGUCAUAGAACACAUGCUUAGUGUGCAGAAAGUCCUGGGUUCAAUCCCCAGUACCUCCU
rnacentral:tRNA from 1 species